UUGAAUGAUCAAAUUUUGGUGUAUGGACUUUCCUUUUGUUCCCUUCAUUAUUCUAGCUUGGGUUAUCUAUACAGAGUAAGUCCACUGCCUGUUGUAAACCACAUAAGGGCCUUAGAGCCUCACUACAAUAUAAAUGGAAGCAGCAUAAUGGGGCAUGAAGCUCAGGAUGUGGACCUAGGUGGGUGCUCCUGGAAAUUGGGCAGAUCUUCAGAGCCUGGCCUGUGUCACCCAGGGAAGUCAGGACAGCAGGAGACUGUGCACCUGGUAGAUUGCAUGUGGACAAUAAAGGGGAGACAAGCUGUGGGAGCACUGUUGCACACAGAGAAACAGCCUGUGCAAAGUACUGUGGGAAGUCUAACAUGAUAUAGAGACCACGAGGUAUUCCUUGUGACUGAACAAAUCAUGUGGGGAAUUAAAAAGUAAUGGGAUGGGUUCAGUCUUUGUUUUUUUGUUUUGUUUUGUUUUGUUUUUUGUUUUUGUUUUUCCCCUGUGUGCAAUAGUGAGCCACUGAAGAUUACUGAGCAGGGGAAGGGCAUGAUCAAAUGUCCAUGUGUGAAAUACCCCUUACGUAGUCAUGGGAAGAUAAACUGGAAGAGUAAGGGCUAGAGGGAAGAAGUUGAGAAAGGAACUAUGGCAAUGGUUCAGGUGACAAGAGGUAAUAGAACUGGGAAGGCAGUGGAGGGAUCUUCAGGAAGCCAGGAAAGGGGAGGUACAAACUGGAGACUAGUUGGGUGUAAGAAGUGAGGGUAAAGUAACAAGUGAGAGUCUCCCCAAGGUUCUGGCUUAGGAAGCAGGGUGAAUGGCCCUGCAAUGUGCAGCAGAAAUAAAACAGGAAUGGACCCUGCUUGUGGGGUCUGAUUCCAGGUUCAGACUAUCCAAGUGGAAGCAUCCAAUAAGGAGUGUGCAAAUAUGGGUGUAAGCAUCUGCAUCUUCAGACUUGUCUCCUAGCAUCUCUCCACUGGUUCUUCUGGGGUUACAGGUUCUUAAAAAUGAUCUUGAAAACUUAACAUCUUGUCUCUAGAAAAUCCUGGACAGAGAAUUCCCUUCCUCUGAAAAGCCCUUGGUGACAAAACGCUGGUAAAGGAAGAGGACAACCUGGGGACAUCACAGUCCCAGGGUCCUGAGGACCUUCAGAUAGGACAUCAGAGAAUUCAGAGCCCAGACAGCUGGUGAACAGAACAUGGAGCUGACAAGUACAGCAGCCCCCAAAACCGAGGGCUUCAGCAACACUGGCUUCCGGAAUGAAGAACUUCUGGAAAACCAGAACAUAUCCGGAAACAGCUCAAUUAGGAGUCGAGUUGUACAAAGCCAGGAACAAGGAAACACCAAACAGGUAGAGCUGGACGGUGGUUGAGGGACUCAUCACCAUG